CAUUUUUUAUUGAAGUAUAGUUGAUUUACAAUGUUGUAAUAAUUUCUGCUGUACAACAAAGUGACUCAGUUAUAUAUGUACACACAAUCCAUUCUCUUUCAGAUUGUUUUCCCAAUAGAUUACCACAAAAUAUUGGGUAGUGUUCCCUAUGCUAUAUCCAAGAGCACAGCAUGUCCCCAUUGGCCAAUCAUUCCAUAUAACUCAGUGGGCAUAUGCCAAUCCCAAACCCCCAGUCCAUUCCUCCCACUCCACCUGUCUCCUUUGGUAAACAUAAAUUUGUUUUCAAAGUCUGUGAGUCUGUUUCUGUUCUGCAAGUAAAUUCAUCUGUAUCGUUUUUUUUAGAUUCCACAUACAAGUGAUAUCAUAUGAUAUUUGCCUUUCACUAACUUCACUUAGUAUGAUAGUUUCUAGGUCCAUCCAUGUUGCUGCAAAUGGCAUUAUUUCAUUCUUUUUCAUGGCUGGGUAAUAUUCCAUUGUAUAUAUGUACCACAUCUUCUUUAACCAUUCCUCUGUUGUUGGACAUUUAGGGUGCUUCCACAUCUUGGCUAUUGAAAAUAGUGCUGCAAAGAACACAGGGGUGCAUGUAUAUUUUUGAAUUAUGGUUUUCUCUGGAUAGAUGCCCAGGAGUGGGAAUCUGGAUCAUAUACUAGUUCUAUUUUUAGUUUUUUGAGGAAUCUUCAUACUGUCCUCCAUAAUGGUUGCACCAAUUUACAUUCCCACAAACAGUGUAAGAGGGUUCCCUUUUCUCUGCACCCUCUCCAUUUAUUGUUUGUAGACUUUGUGAUGAUGGCCAUUCUGGCUGGUGUAAGGUCGCACUUCAUAUAGUUUCGAUUUGAAUUUCUCUAAUAAUUAGCAAUGUUGAGCAUCUUUUCAUCUGUUUCUUGGCCAUAUGUUUGUCUUUUUUGGAGAAAUGUCCAUUUAUAUCUUCUGCCAAUUUUUGAUUGGGUUAUUUGGGGUUUUUUUUAUGUUGAGGUGUACAAGCUGUUUAUAAUCACUGGAUAUUAAUCCCUGAUUGGUCAUAUCAUUUGCAACUAUUUUUCCAAUUCAGUAGGUGGUCUUUUCAAUUUUUGGAUGAUACGCACCCUCUUCAUAAGAAAAAGUUCUCAUAGACCUAAAAUACCACUUAGAUAUUUUUAAUGUACUGAUAUUUACAUCUGUGCAAACUUAAAACUAGGUGUAAGCAUCUUAUUUUUAUUGCUCUUACAUAACUAUAGAAAUUUGUAUGUUAAAUUUAAACCAAAAUAGCAUUCAAAUUAAUGAUAUUAAUUCAAUGUGACAGAUGACAUCAUUGCAUGGAAACAAAUUUCCACUCCUAACAUCCAACUGGCUGCCCCAGUACAGCUUCUUUUGAACUCAGCAACUUAAACCACUUGGGCCACAUGAUAGUUUUACUUACUUGAACUAGGGUAAAACCUUUGCUAAUAUAGCAAAAGACAGUGACUUCAUUGAACUUCAACGGUCCCAAAUGCCUCAUUUUGGGGUACAAAGUCCCUCUGCCUUCUUUUUUGUGUCAGCUGUUGAUAAUUAUAGUAAUGCCCACUGGUACAAUAAAAACACAAACACACAUGCUAACACUGAAAUCAACUCUCAGUACUCAAUGCUAAGGCAGCCAUUCAGGUGACCUACCAUUGAUUAUAUUUUUUCAAUGCCAUCUAGAUAAAUCAAAGUAAUUUGAAAAAUGGCACAGAGAGCUACACAUUCUGGAUAAUAUGCAAAACUAAUGAUGAAAUCUAACAUACUCAUUGUGGCAACAGCAUAGCUCAAAGCAACUAGCCCAAACUAGGUGAACCUCAGAGGUGGUAAUGGGUUAGAGAGAAGAGGGUAAAUAUGAGAAUUUUCAGUAUACUCUCUGGACAAGAUGCCAACAUCCAAUGGAUGUGGGGAAGAAGGAAUGCAAGGGUGGAUUCUGGAAUGCCUCCCAGGUUCCCAGUCUGACCAUGGACAUGCAUCAGGGUGAGCAAACACAGAAGAGGUAGAGAUUUGGGAAGGAAAGGCAAGUUCGCUCAGGCGUGUUGAAAUUAAAGCACCCUUGAGACUAAACCUUUAUCCUGAAUGCAGUUAUGUAUAUCAGACUGCACAGUCAUGAGUGAGGACUGGCUCAGAGAAAAAGAACUGGGAGUUAGAAAUAAGUGGUUGGUGAAGUAUUUAUAUAGAUGAGCUGGUGCACACACAGAGAAGUAGAAAGUGAGAGAAGAGGAAAGCAAUAAAAACGUUCACUAAAGAACUAGCCAUCAGAGGCAGUGGUAUAACCACAUGUAUAAAUCCACAAAUCCUAUGAAUUCAGGAUGAUCUAUGCUGAUGGAGGAAAACUGUAAUACGCAUAAUGUGAAAAACCAAUACAAACAUCGCUAUGUCUUUGCAUCGCCACAGAGAAGAAAGAAGUGUUUACAGAAGAUUUACUUGUGUUUGCUUAAACUUCGUGUGCUCUACCAGAAGGCACAUUAACUUAAAUAAAAGGGCAAAAUGGUAUAGAGUGUGGCAGUCAUUGCAGUUACCCACUCAAUAUCCAUUUCCCUUUCUUGACUUAAUCUUUCUCAGGGCAUCAGUGUGCCCAGCCGAGAAAUGCCUUUCCCAGCCUCUUUUGCACCUAUGAAUGGCCAUGUGACACAGUUCGGGUGGGUGCAAUGUAAGUAAAAGUCAUCAGAUGGAACUUCUGGGAAGGCUUUUUAAAAAGUAAAUAGACUCGGGGCAGUUCCCGUCAUGGCGCAGUGGUUAACGAAUCCGACUAGGAACCAUGAGGGUGCGGGUUCGGUCCCUGCCCUUGCUCAGUGGGUUAACGAUCCGGCGUUGCCGUGAGCUGUGGUGUAGGUCGCAGACGCGGCUCGGAUCCUGCGUUGCUAUGGCUCUGGCGUAGGCCAGUGGAUACAGCUCCGAUUUGACCCCUAGCCUGGGAACCUCCAUAUGCCGCGGGAGCGGCCCAAGAAAAAUGGCAAAAAGACAAAAAAAUAAAAUAAAAUAAAAUAAACUUCUUAAAAAAAAAAAAAGUAAAUAGACUCGGGGGACCAGAUGCUUUGUCUUUACCCUGAUGACGGAAACAUUAUAAUGAAGACAGAGUAACCAUGCUGUGACCUUGAGGCCCCAAGAACAUGAGUUGAAAUAGAGGAUGGUCCUGGGGGCUUCUUGGAACCCCAGCACCAGAUCUAGACCUCCUACUUCCAAAUAUAAGUAAGAAUAAUAAAACCUCUAAUUUUUUGUCGCUGUUUUCCAUUUCUUUAGGUCUUGGGGAAUUUCUACCCACCCAAAAGCCCUAUUAGAAAACUAUCUUAGGGGAGUUCCCAUUGUGGCUCAGCACUAACAAACAUGACUAGUAACCAUGAGGAUGUGGGUUCGUUCCCUGGCCUCACUCAGUGGAUUAAAUGAUCCAGCACGGUCGUGAGCUGUGGUGUAGGUCACAGAAGAGGCUCGGAUCUGGUGUUGCUGUGGCUGUGGUGUAGGCCGGCAGCUGCAGCUCUGAUUCAACCCCUAGCCUGGGAAAAGAAAAAGGAAAAUGGUCUUAGGUACAACAGGAAACCUGUCACUUGAUUAAACACAGCAAGAGGAAAAUGGAGAUGAGGCCAGGAGAUGAGCUGCCCAUGUUAAGUAGAGUCCCUCUGAGAUCCUGUCUACCAAACCUCCAAACUCUAACAUCCUCCACCAUGUUUUUAUUUGGGGUUUGCGUUUUCCUCCUAUCCUUAGCAUAGUGGAGGAAAAAGGAACAUAAAUAUGAAUACCACUAUUUACUAACAAUCAGUGGCUUCUCACUGUCCACUCAAUGAAGUAUAUGUAGGAUAAUUUAUUAACGAUCGAUUGGUGAUUUGUAUUAUCAGUGUUUUCCUUCCCUAUUCUAUUACUCAGGUUCACUGCCGCCUGACUUCCAAGGAGCUUUAGGGUAGAAGCUUGAAGGCCAGUUCCCUAAUACUCCUGCCUGCUGUUUGGUCUUCAAGAGCUGGAGUUCCAUUAAGGGUAUUAUGCUGGAGGAGGGAGGCAGAAGCAGAUGCAGCAAAGGAGAGAAGAGAGAUAGCCCUGCACGCAAAGGGCAUGGUGGGUUCCACAAACAGCAGGGACCCAUGUCAUUCUCCCGGCAGUGCCCGGAAGAGGGCACAGGGCCUCUGAGGGCACAACUGUGUGGUGAAAUGAAGGAGGCUGUACCUUGGACAACAGAACUCCAUGUGCAGAAAGAUUCCUUUGGCCCCAAAGAGCACAGAAACAGAACCACUGCCAGUUAAGGGUCUGUGACAGCUUUGACAAGAGGCUAUACCAUGAUGAGCUGAAAACUAGGGCAGCUCCCCUGUUUUUUAUUUAUUUGUUCUUUUUCCUUUUCUUUCUUUUUUUUUUUUUCCUUUUUUUUUUUUUUUUUUU
rnacentral:lncRNA from 1 species